rnacentral:tRNA from 1 species
CCUGGGGAGAGGAAGAAGCAGAUAGAGCAAAGGCCUCCUCUUUCCGUUCGCUCUUCCCGAAGUGAGCGAAUUGCAUGUAGAGAUCCGUAGGGGCUUAUAGUUUAAUUGGUUGAAACGUACCGCUCACAACGGUGAUAUUGUAGGUUCGAGCCCUACUAAGCCUAC